rnacentral:rRNA from 1 species
UGGGGGAUAUUGCACAAUGGGGGGAAAACCCUGAUGCAGCAACGCCGCGUGAGGGAAGACGGUUUUCGGAUUGUAAACCUUUGUCUUUGGUGAAGAAGAAAGUGACGGUAGCCAAGGAGGAAGCCACGGCUAACUACGUGCCAGCAGCCGCGGUAAUACGUAGGUGGCAAGCGUUGUCCGGAAUUACUGGGCGUAAAGGGUGCGUAGGCGGUCUUUUAAGUUGGAUGUGAAAUCCCCGGGCUUAACUUGGGGUCUGCAUCCAAUACUGGGAGACUAGAGUGCAGGAGAGGGAAGCGGAAUUCCUAGUGUAGCGGUGAAAUGCGUAGAUAUUAGGAGGAACACCGGUGGCGAAGGCGGCUUUCUGGACUGUAACUGACGCUGAGGCACGAAAGCGUGGGGAGCAAACAGGAUUAGAUACCCUGGUAGU